rnacentral:rRNA from 1 species
ACAACGACGGAGGAAGGUGGGGAAUGACGUCAAAUCACUCAUGCCCCGUUAUGAUCUGGGCUACACACGUGCUACAAUGGCCGGUACAACGGGCAGCGAAGGAGCGAUCCGGAGCGAAUCCUAAAAAGCCCGGUCCCAGGUUCGGAUUGCAGGCUAGAAACUCGCCUACAUGAAGUUGGAGUUGCUAGUAAUCGCGAAUCAGAAUGUCGCGGUGAAUGCGUUCCCGGGUCUU